CCAAAAUGGCGCAGGCGGGGGGUGACGGGCACCGGCGGGGCGGGGGGCGGUGGGAGCAGGCGGCGCCACUCACCUGCCGGAGCCCCGUCGCCUUUAUUCACAGAGCCACAGAAUCGUCAAGGCUGGAAGAAACUGCUGUGAUCAAGUCCAAGCGUCAGUCGAGCCCUGCCCCUGUAACCCCUAAAGCACCAAACCACAUCACGCAGCGCCAGGUCCAGACGCCUCUUAAACACCUCCAGUGAUGGCACGGCAGAAGAGACCGGCCCCCUCCGCGCUGCAAGUGCCUUCAAGUGGUUGCAUUACUCUGCAGAAACACCGGUUUGCGAUGCGGUUCGCUCAGAAGUUUGGCACAUGUUCUCGGGGUCAGUUAUUUCCACACGUUGCACCAGAAUUGAUGGGGUGCUCCUGAACUGAACUGAAACCAGCCUCCCAAGCCUGGAUGCCACCUGGGUCCUCCCUUUUUAUCACAAGUUAUCCCGAUCCUGAUUAUACAUCAGGCUUUGCAGGUUGAGCACCUUGCUGUUAAAAGCACAGUCACUUAUGCCGGCCUGUGUGGUGCUUCCGUGUCAGAACGGGGGUUGUACGAGUGGUGUGGAAAAUGCAGGUGUGAAUUCAUUGGUAACCUGCACCGCAUCACUCGGUGCUUCUCCAGCUUUCCCUUUCAGAGCCAGUACCCAGUCAUGGCCACGCACCCAGUCCGUGGCAGAAGAAUAAAAACAGCUCAGUUAAAUUCUUUUGUCUUUUUUCAACCAAGUUGCAGAAUAAUUAUCCUCUCUCUCUCUCUCUUACUUCAUUUUUGUCUUAAAUAAAUCACUAUUAGAUUUAGCAGUUUUCUGAUUUUUAUAGGAGUUUGAUCCCUGUUAUGCAACAUUAGGUUAGAUUACCCUUGUUUUAAUGCUUCUAGUAGUGAUUUUGUAGGUUCAUGAAGAACAGAGCUCACUAAUUGUAGUGGUCAUUAUCUCUGAUUUGUGGUCACUUUCCAUGCAGAUGUUCCUGUGUACAGCUAUUUUGGUUGCUAUAUAAAUCAAAUUAUUUUGUCAAUGUAUUGACUCUGCUAAAACUAAUCUAAAAUUUCUUGCAUCUGUUUCUUUUUCUGUCCUCUAAUGUACUUCCACUUCAUCACUAAGAAAGUUUAUUAUUUAGUCCUGUGGUAGUAAGAAUCCCAGCAGUCUGGCUAAAAGGAACAGACCAAGCAAUUACAAAACUCACUAAGAAGUAAAUGAGGCAGCACUUACGUUGCAAAAUGCUUACCAUCACUUCUGAUAACUCAAGUGGCAAAAAAAUGUUUGGUGGGGCAGAAAAGUGUGGUUUUAAAAGUAUGUUUGCAAAGCUAUCAUAAAAAGUAGGCAAGGAAAUGUGUUUUAUUAGCUGACUUUGAAAAUAUUUGCGUAACUCUGCAUCACUGUAUAUGCCCAUAUAUUUCUGCUUUUUUCAGAAUGAUCUCGAGGUCAUUCAGAGCUCCUGGGAACUUAAGCUAUAUUUUUCUAGUAAGUUAUUUCAGUCUUCUAAGUCCAAUUUAAGUAUAAACACAGUUUCCAUGCACAGCAGGUUUACAGUAUCUCUGUUUGCUUAUGUUAAAAGUUACCGGCUACCCAGGUCGGUUCAGCCAGUCAGAUUGCCCUCUUCAAUAAACAUUCUGACACCGCUUUCA